UGUAGCAACAAAGUUUUUUGCGCGAAUUACUAAAACAUUUUCAGUUAACAAAAAGCACAAACUACUGAUUAGCCAAAGAAACAGAAAAAAAUUAACACUUCACAGUAUCACUCUAUAGCUACGAAAUAGGUAUAUAUACACUAAAACAAUAGGUUUAUAAUGAACUAAUAAGAUCAGCUUCCCGGCUAUGGUAUCCCAAAGUAUUUUAUAUACCUACCGGACCAUAACAGCUUGUAUAAAGGUUAGCCGGCAUGCCAAUUCCGGUAACUACGGAUUGGGAUGCGCACUUGCUGCUACAGAAGUGUCUUAUUGCGGUAGCACUCUGUCCUGCAUCUUCCAAACCUACAGAACCGAACAGGUCGAACACUGCCUCAUAAUUAAGCAUUAACAUUGUAGGGCAUAAACAUUUUCGUGAACUGGCAGAAUAGAAUGAUUCCGUCGCCAUCGCCAUGAGAGAAAUGCAUGUGCAGUGGUGCACAGAAACGACCAAACAGUUGGAAAUCUGUAGUGCCUUUGAAGAAGUUUUACCACGGUAUCCUGGCUCUACAAAUUUGGCUCCUUCCAGCUUUUGCGUUAGAAUCCCUACAAUGCCAACGUGAAUGGAUUUCCCGCUAUCAAUCUGGUUGAUAUCGACAAACUUGACGGGCAGUUGUCUCCAGGAGCAAGUUCAAAAUCAAAGGACUGUGGUAAAAAUUCUGAUUUGAUUUUCCAUUUUUUGCUCCACUGGAUCUUGAAGCCACACCGGUUUUCAUCAAAAUUUCCGGUAAGCACGAAGUUAACUGGCAUGCUUAAGUUGUUGUAAAUUAAAACUCCGACACUUGAACGAUAAUAAUAGUUGUAUACGACCAGCAGAAGAGGGAUUAAUACCAGGAAGACAAAGUUAAUCCCAAUGCGCCAGGCGAGCGCAAACCACGAAGUUAAAAUAUCGUUGAGUGCAUUAGAUCCAUGGGAACCCAUGAAGGCAACUUUGACUGCGUUCGCGUCUUUUGUGACGGAUCCAGUAGCUGAUGGUGGAAAAGAAGAGAUGAAGGCGAAAAUUAUGAAGCCCGCAAUGCAUAAAAGCAACCUCUUGAAUGGAAUAAACGGCUCAUAUUUCGGUGGGACAGGCGCCUUGUUGCGCAUGAAAGCACACAUUUCGUCAUAACUGGUAAAAGGAGCAACGUUAUUGGGGGCGCGAUGUUUCUGAAUUAUGGCUUCAAGCAUUCCCAUGUUGGAUCCCUGAUACUUGGCAAUGAUUUUUCCCUUCUUCAGUAACACGAAAGCGGGCUGUAACAAAAUUAAAGUAAACAAUCAGAAACUGGAAUGACAGCACCAUCCCAUAAAAUUACAACAGCGCAAAAAGUUGAAACUGAUUUUGAUUCAAUCAAAAUUGUUUAAGGUGCUUACAGACUACCAAAUGGCAUAAUUUACGAGUUCCCUUUUAAGAUCUUUUGUUAAAAUUUAUACGUUUACGGCUUACGAUUAUAUAAUAACUGGGGGUGUUCUGUUUAAACCUAGUUGCACUUUUAUAGGAAUUUUUUUUAAUUCGGAAUUUCAGCCAACUCAAAAAGAAGGCAGAUUACAUAAAUGCUACUCACAGUUUUCGUGAUCUGAUAACUCGGGAGGAUGUUCUCAACUUUAUCCACGUCCACUUUGACGAACUGGGCGCUGUCCGCGUACUUCUCGGCCAACUGUUCAUAAGCGGGAGCCACCUUCGUACAGUUUCCGCACCAGGUGGCGUAGAAUUCAGCAAUGACGAGCUCAUUACCAGCCUUGCUCAGCAGACGCUUCAUGCUGUUUUUUGACUGGACGUCUUUCAGGCUAGGCAUGAUUAAAGGUCGAGUGGAGAAAUAACGGAGGAAAAAAGUGAAAUUCCUCGCAAGGUUCCGUAACAGUAAAGUUGUGAAAACCAAUAUGAAGUUGAAGAUCAGCACAAUGACGAAUAGAGUAAACAGCGGCUGAAUAAAACGUAAGAAGUUGUUGUGAGUACUAAUAACUAAUUACUCGAAAGGCAAAAAGUAUGCGCUGCGACAAUCUUUUUCAAACUUAAUAACUUGCACCUUUUUUUUGAAAACCUAAUACACACUUAUUGCACAUUGUGCAGUGCACAAUGCACAGGAAGCACAUGCUCAAAGUGCAGUUGGCAGCAGCAUCCCGGUGCAAAUGACAUGAAUGGGAAAUAUUAUUUUGCAUUUGUAAGU